rnacentral:rRNA from 1 species
CUGUCUGAAUAUGGGGGGACCAUCCUCCAAGGCUAAAUACUCCUGACUGACCGAUAGUGAACCAGUACCGUGAGGGAAAGGCGAAAAGAACCCCGGCGAGGGGAGUGAAAAAGAACCUGAAACCGUGUACGUACAAGCAGUGGGAGCACCCUUCGGGGUGUGACUGCGUACCUUUUGUAUAAUGGGUCAGCGACUUAUAUUCUGUAGCAAGGUUAACCGAAUAGGGGAGCCGGAGGGAAACCGAGUCUUAAUUGGGCGUUAAGUUGCAGGGUAUAGACCCGAAACCCGGUGAUCUAGCCAUGGGCAGGUUGAAGGUUGGGUAACACUAACUGGAGGACCGAACCGACUAAUGUUGAAAAAUUAGCGGAUGACCUGUGGCUGGGGGUGAAAGGCCAAUCAAACCGGGAGAUAGCUGGUUCUCCCCGAAAGCUAUUUAGGUAGCGCCUCGUGAAUUCAUCUCCGGGGGUAGAGCACUGUUUCGGCUAGGGGGCCAUCCCGGCUUACCAACCCGAUGCAAACUGCGAAUACCGGAGAAUGUUAUCACGGGAGACACACGGCGGGUGCUAACGUCCGUCGUGAAGAGGGAAACAACCCAGACCGCCAGCUAAGGUCCCAAAGUCAUGGUUAAGUGGGAAACGAUGUGGGAAGGCCCAGACAGCCAGGAUGUUGGCUUAGAAGCAGCCAUCAUUUAAAGAAAGCGUAAUAGCUCACUGGUCGAGUCGGCCUGCGCGGAAGAUGUAACGGGGCUAAACCAUGCACCGAAGCUGCGGCAGCGACACUGUGUGUUGUUGGGUAGGGGAGCGUUCUGUAAGCCUGUGAAGGUGUGUCGUGAGGCAUGCUGGAGGUAUCAGAAGUGCGAAUGCUGACAUAAGUAACGAUAAAGCGGGUGAAAAGCCCGCUCGCCGGAAGACCAAGGGUUCCUGUCCAACGUUAAUCGGGGCAGGGUGAGUCGACCCCUAAGGCGAGGCCGAAAGGCGUAGUCGAUGGGAAACGGGUUAAUAUUCCCGUACUUGGUGUUACUGCGAAGGGGGGACGGAGAAGGCUAUGUUGGCCGGGCGACGGUUGUCCCGGUUUAAGCGUGUAGGUGUGUGUUCCAGGUAAAUCCGGUUCACUUUAACACUGAGGCGUGACGACGAGGCACUACGGUGCUGAAGCAACAAAUGCCCUGCUUCCAGGAAAAGCCUCUAAGCAUCAGGUAACAUCAAAUCGUACCCCAAACCGACACAGGUGGUCAGGUAGAGAAUACCAAGGCGCUUGAGAGAACUCGGGUGAAGGAACUAGGCAAAAUGGUGCCGUAACUUCGGGAGAAGGCACGCUGACACGUAGGUGAAGUGAUUUACUCAUGGAGCUGAAGUCAGUCGAAGAUACCAGCUGGCUGCAACUGUUUAUUAAAAACACAGCACUGUGCAAACACGAAAGUGGACGUAUACGGUGUGACGCCUGCCCGGUGCCGGAAGGUUAAUUGAUGGGGUCAGCGCAAGCGAAGCUCCUGAUCGAAGCCCCGGUAAACGGCGGCCGUAACUAUAACGGUCCUAAGGUAGCGAAAUUCCUUGUCGGGUAAGUUCCGACCUGCACGAAUGGCGUAAUGAUGGCCAGGCUGUCUCCACCCGAGACUCAGUGAAAUUGAACUCGCUGUGAAGAUGCAGUGUACCCGCGGCAAGACGGAAAGACCCCGUGAACCUUUACUAUAGCUUGACACUGAACAUUGAGCCUUGAUGUGUAGGAUAGGUGGGAGGCUUUGAAGCGUGGACGCCAGUCUGCGUGGAGCCG